rnacentral:rRNA from 1 species
AUCGAACGCUGGCGGCAGGCCUAACACAUGCAAGUCGAGCGAGCGGCGGACGGGGGUGAAAUGUAUGGGGACUGCCCGACAGAGGGGGAUAACUACUGGAAACGGUAGCUAAUACCGCAUACUAUCGGAUAACCCAUAUGGGAUUAGCUAGUAGGUGAGGUAAUGGCUCACCUAGGCGACGAUACCUAGCUGGGCUGAGAGGAUGAUCAGCACAACUGGGAUUGAGACACGGCCCAGACCCCAAGGGGGGCAGAAGGGGGAAAUAUCGCCCACGGGGCGAAAGCCUGAGGAUGAAAUGCGGCGUGGAUGAAGAGGGCCCUAGGGUGGAAAAGUACUUUCAGUCGGGAGGCGUUACCGGAAGAAGAAGCAACGGCUAACUCCGUGCCAGCAGCCGCGGUAAUAC